rfam:Trichobilharzia regenti genome assembly, scaffold: TRE_scaffold0019900
GUACUGAUGAUGAGUCCCAACUAGGAUGAAACAGCUGUCCAGUAC